rnacentral:rRNA from 1 species
AUUGAACGCUGGCGGCAGGCCUAACACAUGCAAGUCGAACGAGUGGCGGACGGGUGCGUAAUGUCUGGGAAACUGCCUGGUGGAGGGGGAUAACUACUGGAAACGGUAGCUAAUACCGCAUACCAUCAGAUGUGCCCAGAUGGGAUUAGCUUGUUGGUGGGGAAACGGCUCACCAAGGCGACGAUCCCUAGCUGGGCGGAGAGGAUGACCGUCCAGACUGGAACGGGGACACGGUCCCAAGUCCUACGGGAGGUAGCAGUGGGGAAUAUUGCAAAAGGGGCGCAAGCCUGAUGCAGCCAUGCCGCGGGUACGAAGAAGGCCUUCGGGUUGUAAAGGACUUUAAGCGGGGAGGCGUUACCCGCAGAAGAAGCACCGGCUAAAUCCGUGCCAGCAGCCGCGGUAAUAC